rnacentral:misc_RNA from 1 species
AAACUAUCUAUGAUGAUGUUCAUCUCUGGACUCCAACUCCCUAACAUUGUGUACAAUAUCUUGGAUCUUCUUAGACAGAGAUUGAUUGUGCUCCUCAAUGUGCUCAAAAAUCAUUUCCAAAUGCCUCUUAUAUGUAGCAGAUCGCUUUUUCUCAGCUGCCAGUUGUUGAGAUAGCUCCCGGAUUUUGUCAUGCUCGUUCGGGUAUUGAUCAUAGAUCAAGUCCCUGCGACCUUUGCCUGGGCACAAUGGAUGAGAGUGCUCCUUGACAAAUUUUGUG